rnacentral:lncRNA from 1 species
AAGGCUCCAGCUGCACGGUUGCAAUCUUAACAUACAGUUUAUUUGUAAGUUUCCCUGAAAUGAGUUGCCAACCAUGAACGGGACAAUCUGCAGGUGUCCAACCCUCGCCUUCCCCCCACUCCACGGCCAUUCGCAGCUCCCAGAGGAAGGCACCUGCUAGACACGCGAGUGUGACCCGCCCUAGGCAACGUGUGAAGCGGCCCUCAAGCGGGAGAACCCGGGCAAGAAGAGAAACUCUUACCUUCUCCUUGCCCCCACAGUGGCAGCAGACGGUGCCCAGGUACUUGAGGGUCCUCCAGAGCAGGAGAGGAAAAAGGGGACCAUGGACGAGGCCAGGAAGGCCCGCCACAUGCGCUGCCCGCGGGCGCAGGGGACCUCCAUGGGCCUGGGGAUGAUGGCCGAGGAGGAGUCCGAGGAGUAUCUCCUGGAGCCGCCUCCGCCACUGGCCAGGGCUAAGAGCUCCCGCUGCUGCUCCUGCCAGCGCCCUCGGCCAAGCCCAGCCAUAGCGCUGCUCUUGGGCGGGGAGGCGCGCAAGCCGAGCCUCAGCGCACGUCCAGGCAGGCGGCCGCCGCUCCAGUCAGAGGCUGCCCCUUCCCCCUCACGACGCCCGCCACCAAGGGGAGAAGGCGGGCGGGAUUCCUCCCUUGGUCGCCUCACGAUUUGCGCGCCAAGGCGGAGAGCGGCCCCUCGUCAGUCUCUCCGGCAAGUCCAGCCCUUCCUCUCUCCUCGGCUUCGGCUCCCCUCCCGGCUGGCUCCUGCCUGGUCUCGGGGCUCUCCAGGCUCCCCCUCGCCUCCUCCCAAACGGCCCUGCGCGCUUCUCCGAGGCUGCCUCGAGCAGAUGGAGG